rnacentral:lncRNA from 1 species
CCUCAAUCCACUUAUGAGAGUCAGAACUCUGCAUGGCAUGAUAGAAACUAACUGGAUCAUCAUCUAUCAUGUCUACAGUAUCCUCAUGUUCCUGAAGAAACACUAUAUAAUCAUCUGGAAUAGCACUUCUUCUCUCCCUAGUAGAUCUCCUCAAAGGCAUUUGAACAGACUCUAAUUCUUGAGGUUGUUGAAUUUGUUCUUGAGGAAGAAUAGCAUUGUCUUGAAUUGGAUCUUGAAUAGUGACAGGAGCAACUGGAGUCUGUACGCUAUCAGAAACAACAAAAGGAAUGAGAACCGAAUCAUCCUUACUUGGUUCCUCUUCAAAGACAAUGUUUCUUUCUUUAUUUCUCCC